rnacentral:tRNA from 1 species
AGGAUGAUAGUUAAUAAUAACAGUUGGGUUGCAUUCAAAAAGUACUGAAAAUAUCAGUUCAUCUU